rnacentral:rRNA from 1 species
AUGGCGGACCGGGUGGCGAAGCUGGCGUCGCAGCGUGCGGUGGUGAUCUUCGGGGUGAGCAAUUGCUGCAUGUGCCACGUGGUGAAGACACUCUUCACAGAGAUGGGCGUGAGCUGGAUGGCGCACGAGCUGGACAAGGACCCCCACGGGAAGGACGUCGAGAGGGCGCUCGCCGGCAUUGUCGGACGGAGCCCGCCCGUGCCGGCGGUUUUCAUUGGCGGCAGGCUCGUCGGAACCACCGACCAGGUCAUGACGCUGCACCUCGGCGGCCAGCUUGUGCCGCUGCUCCGCCAGGCUGGCGCCCUCUGGCUCUGA